UGGGGUGUAGGUCAAUGGUAGAUUGCUUUCCUAUCAUGAGUAAGAUCCAGGGUUCAAUCCCCAGUACCAUAA
rnacentral:tRNA from 1 species